rnacentral:rRNA from 1 species
CUGGCGGCAGGCUUACACAUGCAAGUCGAGCGGUAGCACAGGGGAGCUUGCUCCCUGGGUGACGAGCGGCGGACGGGUGAGUAAUGUCUGGGAAACUGCCUGAUGGAGGGGGAUAACUACUGGAAACGGUAGCUAAUACCGCAUAACGUCGCAAGACCAAAGAGGGGGACCUUCGGGCCUCUUGCCAUCAGAUGUGCCCAGAUGGGAUUAGCUAGUAGGUGGGGUAAUGGCUCACCUAGGCGACGAUCCCUAGCUGGUCUGAGAGGAUGACCAGCCACACUGGAACUGAGACACGGUCCAGACUCCUACGGGAGGCAGCAGUGGGGAAUAUUGCACAAUGGGCGCAAGCCUGAUGCAGCCAUGCCGCGUGUGUGAAGAAGGCCUUCGGGUUGUAAAGCACUUUCAGCGAGGAGGAAGGUGGUGAGCUUAAUACGCUCAUCAAUUGACGUUACUCGCAGAAGAAGCACCGGCUAACUCCGUGCCAGCAGCCGCGGUAAUACGGAGGGUACAAGCGUUAAUCGGAAUUACUGGGCGUAAAGCGCACGCAGGCGGUUUGUUAAGUCAGAUGUGAAAUCCCCGGGCUCAACCUGGGAACUGCAUUUGAAACUGGCAAGCUAGAGUCUCGUAGAGGGGGGUAGAAUUCCAGGUGUAGCGGUGAAAUGCGUAGAGAUCUGGAGGAAUACCGGUGGCGAAGGCGGCCCCCUGGACGAAGACUGACGCUCAGGUGCGAAAGCGUGGGGAGCAAACAGGAUUAGAUACCCUGGUAGUCCACGCUGUAAACGAUGUCGAUUUGGAGGUUGUGCCCUUGAGGCGUGGCUUCCGGAGCUAACGCGUUAAAUCGACCGCCUGGGGAGUACGGCCGCAAGGUUAAAACUCAAAUGAAUUGACGGGGGCCCGCACAAGCGGUGGAGCAUGUGGUUUAAUUCGAUGCAACGCGAAGAACCUUACCUACUCUUGACAUCCAGAGAACUUUCCAGAGAUGGAUUGGUGCCUUCGGGAACUCUGAGACAGGUGCUGCAUGGCUGUCGUCAGCUCGUGUUGUGAAAUGUUGGGUUAAGUCCCGCAACGAGCGCAACCCUUAUCCUUUGUUGCCAGCGGUUCGGCCGGGAACUCAAAGGAGACUGCCAGUGAUAAACUGGAGGAAGGUGGGGAUGACGUCAAGUCAUCAUGGCCCUUACGAGUAGGGCUACACACGUGCUACAAUGGCGUAUACAAAGAGAAGCGACCUCGCGAGAGCAAGCGGACCUCAUAAAGUACGUCGUAGUCCGGAUUGGAGUCUGCAACUCGACUCCAUGAAGUCGGAAUCGCUAGUAAUCGUAGAUCAGAAUGCUACGGUGAAUACGUUCCCGGGCCUUGUACACACCGCCCGUCACACCAUGGGAGUGGGUUGCAAAAGAAGUAGGUAGCUUAACCUUCGGGAGGGCGCUUACCAC